GCGCGAAAACUUUGCAAUGCGGGAAACCGUGACAGGGGAACUCCGAGUGCCCGUAAAAUCGGGCUGUCCACCAGUUUAAAUAACUGGUGAAGAAAGGGCCGGGCAAGACCGGUGCCAGCCGCCGCGGUAAUACCGGCGGCUCGAGUGGUGGCCACUAUUACUGGGCUUAAAGCGUUCGUAGCUGGUUUGUUAAGUCUCUGGGGAAAUCUUCCGGCUUAACCGGAAGGCGUCUCAGGGAUACUGGCAGACUAGGGACCGGGAGAGGUGAGGGGUACUCCAGGGGUAGGAGUGAAAUCCUGUAAUCCUUGGGGGACCACCUGUGGCGAAGGCGCCGUCACCAGAACGGCUCCGACAGUGAGGGACGAAAGCUGGGGGAGCGAAACCGGAUUAGAACCCGAG
rnacentral:rRNA from 1 species